rnacentral:other from 1 species
GGUUUGCUGCGGGGUGCGUGAUACAACAUAUUCCCGGAGACCGAUAAAUUUCGCAAGGGAGCUGUCCCUGUUCUUAAGCCACAAGCUUUUGGAUAUAUGGCGCCCACCUGGUUUAACUGGGUCACACGCGGAUUUGAACGUAAACGGCCAGCGUGGCGCCCUU